rnacentral:rRNA from 1 species
AUCGAUGAAGAACGCAGCGAAAUGCGAUAAGUAAUGUGAAUUGCAGAAUUCAGUGAAUCAUCGAAUCUUUGAACGCACAUUGCGCCCUCUGGUAUUCCGGGGGGCAUGCCUGUUCGAGCGUCAUUACAACCCUCAAGCUCUGCUUGGUAUUGGGCGUCACCCCCGGGUGCGCCUCAAAAACAGUGGCGGUGCCGUCUGGCUUCAAGCGUAGUAAUUUCUCUCGCUCCGGAGUCCAGGCGAGUGCUCGCCAGAACCCCCAAUUUAUCAAAGGUUGACCUCGGAUCAGGUAGGGAUACCCGCUGAACUUAAGCAUAUCAAUAAGCGGAGGAAAAGAAACCAACAGGGAUUGCCUCAGUAACGGCGAGUGAAGCGGCAAAAGCUCAAAUUUGAAAUCUGGCCUCACGGUCCGAGUUGUAAUUUGUAGAGGAUGUUUCGAACGUGGUCCGAUCUAAGUUCCUUGGAACAGGACGUCAUAGAGGGUGAGAAUCCCGUAUGUGCCCGGGUGCCAUUGUUCAUGUGAAGCUCCUUCGACGAGUCGAGUUGUUUGGGAAUGCAGCUCAAAAUGGGUGGUAAAUUUCAUCUAAAGCUAAAUACUGGCCAGAGACCGAUAGCGCACAAGUAGAGUGAUCGAAAGAUGAAAAGCACUUUGGAAAGAGAGUUAAACAGUACGUGAAAUUGUUGAAAGGGAAGCGCUUGCAAUCAGACUUGCAUGCAGUCGAUCAUCCGAUGUUCUCACCGGUGCACUCGAUUGUAUUCAGGCCAGCAUCGGUUUUGGUGGUUGGAUAAAGGCCUCAGGAACGUGGCUCCUCUCGGGGAGUGUUAUAGCCUGAGGUGCAAUGCAGCCUACUGGGACCGAGGACCGCGCUUCGGCUAGGAUGCUGGCGUAAUGGUUGUAAGCGACCCGUCUUGAAACACGG